rnacentral:lncRNA from 1 species
UCACCCUGAGCCAGCCCCUGCUGUUGGGCAUCGCCCGAAAUGAGACCAGUGCUGGCCGAGCCAGUGCCGAGUUCUAUGUCCAGUGAGUAGGCUCGGGUACAUGAUCCUGGGUCUUGGGAAGGUGGGUGGUGAGGAGUGGGCUGAGGCAGCUGUGGCUCCACAGGUACCCCGCAGGGGCUGGUCACCCACUAAGCCACCCUUGUGUUCUUGUCCAGGUGCAGCCUGACUUCUGAGCAGGUGAGGAAGCACUACCUGAGUGGGGGACCCGAGGCCCACGAGUCUACAGGAAUCUUCUUUGUGGAGACACAGAACGUGCAGAGAUUGCUCGAGACGGAGAUGUGGGCUGAACUCUGCCCCUCGGCCAAAGGCGCCAUCAUCCUCUACAACCGGGUUCAGGGAAGUCCCACUGGAGCGGCCCUAGGGUCCCCAGCCCUACUCCCGCCGCUCUGAAAAUAAUAAACGACUUUAUUCUUGG